UGAUAGGAGAAUACUGAGGCUGGAUCAACAACAUUGUAGUUACUCCACAAUACUAACCUAAAUGACAGACUGAAAAGAAGGAAGCCUGUACAGAAUUGUAACGUUGGGAUAGUGAUGGGUGUGGAGGCAGACGCAGAGAGCAGAAGGUAGACGGGAAAAAUCGCUUUAAUGUCCUCAAGCACAGUAACAGNNNNNNNNNNCCCAAACCCACUGUUACCAAAAUACCGGACAGCGAAAACCCAAACCCACUGUUACCAAGAUACCGGACAGCGAAAACCCAAAUGAAAACCCAAACUCACUGUUACCAAGAUACCAGACAGCGAAAACCCAAACCCACUGUUACCAAGAUACCGGACAGCGAAAACCCAAAAGUACACAAACACCACUAACGUAGAAUAACCACAAGCCCGCACAAACACCAGCGGGCUAAACAAACUUAAAUAACACCCAUCCCAAAACCACAACAAGGAACAGGUGAAAACAAUUAGACAAAAACAAACGAAAAGGAAAAAAGCGAUCGGUGAGCACCGCCCGAACAGGAAGAGGAGUCACCUUCAGUAGCAGCUAGUAGACCGGCGACGACGACCGCCGAGCACCGCCCGAACAGGGAGAGGAGCCACCUUCAGUAGCAGCUAGUAGACCGGCGACGACGACCGCCGAGCGCCACCCGAACAGGAAGGGGAGCCACCUUCGGUGGUAUUCGUGACAAGAAUAACAAUAUUCCAAAACAUGCAUCCUGUUUGCAACAAGGCACUAAAGUAAUACUGCUAAAAAUGUGGCAAAGCAAUUAACGUUUUGUCCUGAAUACAAAGUAUUAUGUUUGGGGCAAAUCCAAUACAUCACAUUACUGAGUACCACUCUCCACACUUUAAAGCAUAGAGGUGGCUGCGUCAUGUUAUGGGUAUGCUAGUAAUCGAACCUGUUGAAACUAGGGGGCACAAUUUUCAUUUUUGGAAAAAUAACGUUCCCAAAGUAAACGGGCUAUUUUGUCAGGACAAGAUGCUAGAAUAUGCAUAUAAUUGACGGCUUAGGAUAGAAAACACUCUAAAGUUUCCAAAACUGUAAAAAUAUUGUCUGUGAGAUAACAGAACUGAUAUUGCAGGCGAAAGCCUGAGAAAAUCCAAUCAGGAAGUGACACAUGUUUUGAAAGGUCUGCGUUCCGAUUUUGAGCAGUGAAUGGGCUAUCAACCAGAUUCCUUUUUCUACGUAUUCCCCAAGGUGUCUACAGCAUUUUGACGUAGUUUCACGCCUUUAUGUUGAAGAAUGAGCGUAAACAACUACAUUGUGUAAGUGUCCGGCUGAGGGCUCUCAGAGUAAUUAUUGCGUAAUAGACAGAGGUAGCUAUUUUUCCUCCCGGUCUUACUGAAAAUACAGCUGUCCCGGUUGAUAUAUUAUCGAAUAGAUAUUUGAAAAACACCUUGAGGAUUGAUUAUAAACAACGUUUGCCAUGUUUCUGUCGAUAUUAUGAAGCUAAUUUGGAAUAUUUUUCAGAGUUGUCGUGACCGCAAUUUCCGGUAGAAUUCUCAGCCAAACGUGAAGAACUAACGGAGUUAUUUCGGCUACAAAAAUAAUAUUUUUGGAAAAAAGGAACAUUUGCUAUCUAACUGGGAGUCUCGUGAGUGAAAACAUCCGAAGCUCAUCAAAGGUAAUUUGAUUGCUUUUCUGAUUUUCGUGACCAGGUUGCCUGCUGCUAGCUAGGCAUAAUGCUAUGCUAGGCUAUCGAUAAACUUACACAAAUGCUUGUCUAGCUUUGGCUGUAAAGCAUAAUUUCAAAAUCUGAGAUGACAGGGUGAUUAACAAAAGGCUAAACUGUGUUUCAAUAUUUUUCACUUGUGAUUUCAUGAAUAUUAAUAUUUUCUAGUAAUAUUAUUUGACUGUGGCGCUAUGCUAUUCAGCGGCUGCUGACGAAAAUGAUCCCGUGACAGGGAUGAGUAGCGUCAAGAUUAAGGACUGGGGAGUUUUUCAGAAUGGAGCUAAACACAGACAAAAUCCUAGUGGAAAACCUAGUUUAGUCUGCUUUCCACCAUCCACUGGGAGAUUAAUUCACCUUCCAACAGGACAAUAACCUAAACCACAAGGCCAAAUAUACACUGGACUUGCUUACCAAGAAGACAGUGAAUGUUCCUGAGUGGCUGAGUUACAGUUUUAAAUUAAAUCUACUUGGAAAUCUAUGGCAAGA
rnacentral:lncRNA from 13 species